GAGGGUAUAGCUUAGUGGUAGAGCACAUGCUUAGCAUGCACAAGGUCCUGGGUUCAAUCCCCAGAACCUCCA
rnacentral:tRNA from 1 species